UGGGGAAUAUUGCACAAUGGACGGAAGUCUGAUGCAGCAACGCCGCGUGCGGGAUGACGGCCUUCGGGUUGUAAACCGCUUUUUCUCAUGACGAAGUUUUUUGACGGUAGUGGGGGAAGAAGCACCGGCUAACUACGUGCCAGCAGCCGCGGUGAUACGUAGGGUGCGCGCGUUGUCCGGAAUUAUUGGGCGUAAAGAGCUUGUAGGCGGUUUGUCGCGUCGAUAGUGCAAACUCAGUGCUUAACGCUGAGCCUGCUGUUGAUACGGGCAGACUAGAGGAAGGUAGGGGAGAAUGGAAUUCCCGGUGGAGCGGUGGAAUGCGCAGAUAUCGGGAGGAACACCGGUGGCGAAGGCGGUUCUCUGGGCCUUUCCUGACGCUGAGAAGCGAAAGCGUGGGGAGCGAACAGG
rnacentral:rRNA from 1 species